rnacentral:lncRNA from 1 species
AGGCCAACACUUUCAUGUCUCUUCCUUCAUACAACCCACCACAUCUCGAAACACUCUAUACGGCCCAACAACCCCAAUACGGCCCAACGAACAACAAUUUUAACGUGCACAUGGCCUUCCAGGCUCGGAGGUUCCCAGUUCCCACCGUCAGUCAACAUUUAUCCUAUCCGACUCAUUAUUCCCUCAACCGUAUCUCCCCGAGCGAGCACUAGGCAGGCGGCCA